GUAUUAUCCAGCUCGUAUUUUAUUCUAGGAUGCUCAAAAUUAGCAAACUCUGUGUACCAGCGAGGUGAUGUUAAGCUACGAGACAGAAUAAGCUGUAAGACCUCUAUUGUUUAUUGCUUAAACUAUCAUUUUAAAAAUUGGUGCUAGUUCUUUCAUGUACCUCUAUGUUCAAAUGUCUAAUUUGCAUUGGAGGAUUGCCUUUGGGGUACCUCACAAUCACCUGCUGUAAACGUAC